UUUAACUUUCAAAAAGUGGUGUGUGUGUGUGUGUGUGUGUGAGAGAGAGAGAAGACUUAUUCUGUUUAUUCUGAUAAAUCUAUCAUCAUCCCAUAUUGCCAUUAAAAAUUAAAGAAAUUCAUUCUCCAGAUUAAUAAAUAGAAUUUUCACUGAGGAAUGAAAAUACAAGAUUUAGCACAAUUACUCGGUCUGGUGCCCUAAUGGAACAAGAAUUCUAAUAUUUAUUGUUGUAAUGCUGCCAUUAAAGUAAAGUCCAAACAAUGCCUGGACAGAUGCUGAUAUAAUUUGCUAUUGUUUUUUGAAAAGAUCAGCUGUUCGUGUCACAUGGACGAUAUGUUGAAAUAUCAAAACUUACAGUGGAAUGUGUUGUUUGCGUCAACGACCAACACAGUCUGAAGAUGUGCUAGGGGUAGCCUGUAAGCAUCUCAUGUUUCUGGUGCCAACAUAGCAUGUUUACAUCUUACUAACCCGUAUGUUUUUUUUUGGAAUGCCUGAGGAUAUUGGAAUGCAGAGAGGAAACUUCGCAGUCACGUGGAGAAGGUAGAAACUCCUUACAGGCAGUGCUCUUCAAUCAAAGAAGGUUUGGUCCACUUAAUGGCUUUCUGACUGCAUAUCUGCAGUGCUGGCCAAGAGACCCUGCUUUUCUUCUACUUCCGUGGUGCAGUAGCCUAGUCAAGAAGCUUAUCUCCCUCUACUUGCUACUUCCUCGGACCAUCGGAUCAGAGGAAAGUCCUUAUACCCGUGUCAUCACAGUGAGACUCAGUGAAAUUACAAGCAAGGUAGACAAAGGAGAUGCAAUGGAUGUGGCAUACUUGGAUUUUCAGAAGGUCUUUGACAAGCUGCCGACAAGAGCCCAUGGAAUUACAGGGCCUCAUCACCCCUCCCACUCAUGGCAGUGGUAUUGACGUGGAACACGAUCACUGACUGCUCACUCUCCCAUUUAAGAAUGCUGUGGACUUGAUCCAGGAUGUUUCUGACCCUGGCACCCGAGAGACACUGCACAUUUAGGGAGCUGAUCAGACCACAGCAGGCAGAGAGGGCAGGAAUCCCCUGCCUCCUUCUCCCUCCCCACCAACAGAAUUCUCCUCCAGGAUAUUGAUGAGGACAAUUGUUCCUCACCUGGACCACCACAAGUGGCUCAAUUGUACAAAUGACAAGCAGAAUGGGAUAGCAAUAGUGAUCAGGAUUUCUAUAUUUCACAGGUGAUCCUCUGGUUGCAGAGGUGAUAUUUUAUAUGCUGUUUGCAUUGUAAACACAUGCUGGUAUUUACAUAUUUAUGCAAAUUUUAUUCCAUAUCCAUACUUUAAUAAUAAAUAAACUUAUGUGUACAUAAUUCUACUUUUUUAUAAUUGUUGAAUUUUUUUUUGCAUGGAGAUCUGAGACUAGUGAUUUGCCAUAGCGAUCAGAGUUGUGUCCAUUGUUGUUGUCAUCUAUAUUAAUUUAUUUAUGAUAUAUUGAUGAUAAUGUGGUAAACUGAAUAAGAAAAUUUGCAGAUGACAAGUGGAUAAUGAGGAAGGCUAUCAAAGCUGGUAAAAUGGGCUGAAAUAUGGCAGACGGAAUUUAAUGUAGACGUGUGAGCUGUUGCACUUUGGAAGGACAAUCCAGGGCAGGACUUACACAGAGAAUGGUAGGGCAACAAAGGGAUCUAGGAAUACAGAUCCCUGAUUCCUUGAAAGUGGUGUCACAGGUAGAUGGGUUUUUAAAGAGAGCUUUUGCCAUACAGGCCUUCACAAAUCUGAGUGCCGAGUACAAGAGUUGGGAUGUUAUCUUGUAUAAGAUAUUGGUGAGGCCUAAUUUGGAGGACCUAUGCAGCUCCAGUCACCUACCUACAGGAAAGAUAUCAACAAGAUUGAAAGAGUGCAGAGAAAAUUUACAAGGAUUUUGCUAGGACUUGAGGACGUGAGAUAGAGGGAAAGGUUGAAUAGGUUAGGAUUAAUUCCCUGGAGCAUAGGAGAAUAAUGAGAAAUUUGGUAGAAGUGUACACAAUUAGGAGAGGUAUAGAUAAGGUAAAUGCAAGCAGGCUUCUUCCACUGAGAGAUUAGAACUAGAGGUGAAAUGUUUUAGGAGAACCUGAGGGGAAGUUUCUUCACUCAUAUGGUGUGAGUGCAAAGAGCUGCCAGUGUAAGUGGUACGUGCGGGUUUGACUGCAGCAUUUAAGGGAGGUUUGGAUAAGUACAUGAAUGGGAGGGGUAUGGAGUGUUAUGGUCCAGAUGUGAACUAAGCAGAAUUAGUUUGGCGUGGAAUUGACGGGCUGAAGGACCUGUUUCUGUGCCGAAGGGCUCAAUGACUCUCUGUUUUUAUCAUCCAGUGACACUGUGAACGAUGAAAAUUCCCAAAUAAACUCCCAGACAUGCAUUCAAAUUGCAUUUACCAGCAGGGGCAACAGGUUCAUGGAGAGUGAACCUGGAAAUUUACUGAGCAUGAGGAGUUACAUCCAUAUUCAAAGCUAUUAUUUUAGAACCAUAAUAAAUUAAAAACAGGGCAACUUUCAUCAUCUUUUACAUAUCUUAUUGAAACCACACAUUAGCUAGUUUUGUCAUGCAGUAAAUACUGACACUUGAGUCAUAGUGCCUGAAAAUUCACUGUGUAAGUCCUACCCUAGUUUAUCCAUCCAAAGUGCAAUUUGUCUGCGUUAAAUUCCAUCUGUCAUUUAUCAACUCAUUUUUUCAGCUGGUCCAGAUCCCAAUGCACUGUUGUUAGCCUUCCUCACUGUCCAGUAUGCCAUCAACCUUGGUGUCAACUUCAAAUUUCCUGAUCUAACUUACCACAUUAUCAUCUAGGUCGUUGAUAUAGAUGAUAAACAACAAUGGACCCAGCACUGAUCACUGUGGCAUACCACUAGUCACUGGUCUCCAGUAAAAAGAGACAACCAUAUACUACCACUGUCUGACUUCUCUUGCUAAGCCAAUGUUGAAUCCAAUUUACUACCACAUCCUGAACCUCCUUUUCCAACAUUCCAUGCGGGACCUUGUCAAAGGUCUUGCUAAAGUCAAUGUAGACAACAUCUACUGCCUUUCCUUCAUCAACAUUCCACGUAACCUCCUCAAAAAUACUGUAAGAUCGGUUAGACAUGAUCUAACAUGCACAAAGCUAUGUUGACUAUCCCUAUACACGAGGAAAUCUGCAGAUGCUGGAAAUUCAAGCAACACACACAAAAUGCUGGUGGAAUGCAGCAGGCCAGGCAGCAUCUAUAGGGAGAAGCACAGUCGACGUUUCGGGCUGAGACCCUUCGUCACAUUGCUUGACUAUCCCUAAUCUGGUCUUGUCUAUCUAGAUCCUGUCUAUUCCAGAUCAGUCCCUAUCUACCCAAAUACUUAUAUAUCCCCUGGUCUGUUAGGAUAACCUUUCAAUAAUUUUCCCACGACUGGUCUAUAAUUUCCCACUUAUUCUUACAGCCUUUCUUAAGCAAAGGAAAGUAACGCCAAUCAGGAGUAUUAGGGUGAGACUGGAGACCUAAUGGACUGGGUGGAUUGUAGAAAUAAUAGAGGUCAGAGGCCUAUGAACUCUACCUUAAUUACACCAAGUGACCUGGCCUUCUCAGACUUCCAUGACAACAAAUUCCAGAUUCAUUAUCCUCUUGCUGAAAAAAUUCCUCCACAUCUCAGUUUUAAAGAAACAUCCCUUUAUUCUCGCACUGUGCCCUCAUGAAUGGAAACAUCCUCUUUGCUUCCACUCUAUCUAGGCCUUUCAAUAUUUGGUAGGUUUCAGUUAGAUCCCUUUCAGCCUUCCAAACAUCAUGGAGUACAGGCCCAAAGAACAUCAAACACACCUCAUACAUGACAUUUAGCCUUGCAGUCCUAUGGAUCUCCUCUGGAUCUUCUCCAGGUACAGCACAUUUUUCCUUAGAUAUGAGGACAGAAGCUACUCACAAUAUUCCAAGUGAUGUGCAUUGGAUGUUUGAUGCUUUCUUUGAAAGGGUCUAAUAGUGGUUCUUUGU